CGUGAAGGAUGAAGGUCCUCUGGAUUGUAAACUUCUUUUAUAUGGGACGAAAAAGGGCUUUCUAUCUCAACUGACGGUACCAUUUGAAUAAGCACCGUGCUAACUCCGUGCCAGCAGCCGCGGUAAUACGGAGGGUGCAAGCGUUAUCCGGCAUCACUGGGUUUAAAGGGUGCGGUAGUGGGUUGGUAAGUCAGUGGUGAAAUCCCCGAACUUAACUCGGGAACUGACAUUGAUACUAUCAGUCUUGAAUACCGUGGAGGUCAGCAGAAUAUGUCAUGUAGCGGUGAAAUGCUUAGAUAUGACAUAGAAUACCAAUUGCGAAGGCAGCUGGCUACCCGAAUAUUGACACUGAGGCACGAAAGCGUGGGGAUCAAACAGGAUUAGAUACCCUGGUAGUCCACGCCCUAAACUAUGGAUACUCGACAUAUGCGAUACACUGUAUGUGUCUGAGCGAAAGCAUUAAGUAUCCCACCUGGGAAGUACGAGCGCAAGGUUGACACUCAUAGGAAUUGGCGGGGGUCCGCACAAGCGGUGGAGCAUGUGGCUUACUUCGAUGAUACGCGAGGAACCUUA
rnacentral:rRNA from 1 species